AUACGAAGGGGGCUAGCGUUGUUCGGAAUUACUGGGCGUAAAGCGCGCGUAGGCGGACUGAUCAGUUGGGGGUGAAAUCCCAGGGCUUAACCCUGGAACUGCCUCCAAUACUGUCAGUCUUGGGUUCGGGAGAGGUGAGUGGAAUUCCUAGUGUAGAGGUGAAAUUCGUAGAUAUUAGGAAGAACACCAGUGGCGAAGGCGGCUCACUGGCCCGAUACUGACGCUGAGGCGCGAAAGCGUGGGGAGCAAACAGGAUUAGAUACCCCAGUAGUCC
rnacentral:rRNA from 1 species